UCUUCUGCACCAGAAGGGCACACAUGAAGU
rnacentral:piRNA from 1 species